CUCCUUUCGUAGUUCAUGAGCAUGAUGAUUGUGUUCACACACAUGUGUGAAACGUAGCACCACAAACCUUGUUACAACAUUGGCACAUUACCCGUCUGGCA
rnacentral:snoRNA from 2 species